GAGGGUGUAGCUCAGUGGUACAGUGCAUGCCUAGCAUGCACAAGGUCCUGGGUUCAAUCCCCAGUACCUCCA
rnacentral:tRNA from 1 species